rnacentral:misc_RNA from 1 species
AAGUCGUAACAAGGUUUCCGUAGGUGAACCUGCGGAAGGAUCAUUAUUGAAUGAACUUGGUGUGGUUGUUGCUGGCUCUUUCGAGGGCAUGUGCACGCCCACCAUCCUCAUCUCUCCACCUGUGCACCUCUUGUAGACUUGGAUUGACUUUCCGAGGCAACUCGGUCGGGAGGAUUGCCGGCGCCAGCUGGCUUUCUUUGCAUUUCCCAGGCUACGUUUUUCAUAUACCCAUUGUAUGUAACAGAAUGUAACAUUGGGCACUUGUGCCUAUAAACUUUAUACAA